rnacentral:rRNA from 1 species
GAAAGCGUGGGGAGCAAACAGGAUUAGAUACCCUGGUAGUCCACGCCCUAAACGAUGCACACUAGUUGUUGCUAUGCUAGACAUAGCAGUAAUGCAGUUAACACAUUAAGUGUGCCGCCUGGGGAGUACGGUCGCAAGAUUAAAACUCAAAGGAAUAGACGGGGACCCGCACAAGCGGUGGAGCAUGUGGUUUAAUUCGACGAUACGCGAAGAACCUUACCUGGACUUGACAUAGAAAGAAUAACGCAGAGAUGUGAUAGUGCUAGCUUGCUAGAACUUUCAUACAGGUGCUGCACGGCUGUCGUCAGCUCGUGUCGUGAGAUGUUGGGUUAAGUCCCGCAACGAGCGCAACCCUCGUGUUUAGUUGAUAACAGUUCGGCUGAUAACUCUAAACAGACUGCCUGGGUAACCAGGAGGAAGGUGAGGACGACGUCAAGUCAUCAUGGCCCUUAUGUCCAGGGCUACACACGUGCUACAAUGGGGUAUACAAAGAGCAGCGAUACGGUGACGUGGAGCAAAUCUCAAAAAUAUCUCCCAGUUCGGAUAGUAGUCUGCAACUCGACUACUUGAAGUUGGAAUCGCUAGUAAUCGUAGAUCAGCAAUGCUACGGUGAAUACGUUCCCGGGUCUUGUACUCACCGCCCGUCACACCAUGGGAGUUGAACUCAUUCGAAGCGGGGAUGCUAAAGUAGCUACCCUCCACAGUGGAUUUAGCGACUGGGGUGAAGUCGUAACAAGGUAACCGUAGGAGAACCUGCGGUUG